GAUGAACGCUGGCGGCGUGCCUAAUACAUGCAAGUCGAGCGAACGGACGAGAAGCUUGCUUCUCUGAUGUUAGCGGCGGACGGGUGAGUAACACGUGGAUAACCUACCUAUAAGACUGGGAUAACUUCGGGAAACCGGAGCUAAUACCGGAUAAUAUUUUGAACCGCAUUGUUCAAAAGUGAAAGACGGUCUUGCUGUCACUUAUAGAUGGAUCUGCGCUGCAUUAGCUAGUUGGUAAGGUAACGGCUUACCAAGGCAACGAUGCAUAGCCGACGUGUGAGGGGGAUAGGCCACAUUGGAGCUGGGACGGGGACCAGAGUCCUGAGGGAGGGAGCAGUAGGGAAUGUGCGGCAAUGGGGGAGAGCCUGACGGAGCAACGCGGCGUGAGUGAUGAAAGUCUUGGGAGCGUAAAGCUCGGUUAUGAGGGAAGAACAGAUGUGUAAGUUAAUGUGGAGAGCUUGACGGUACUUGAUCAGAAAGCAACGGCUAACUACGUG
rnacentral:rRNA from 1 species